AAACUGCCCCCUAAGUUUUACAACUGUAGCAGUUUUGGCCCCCCAAGGCCAAUUUUUGGUAAAAAAAAAAAAAACACGUGGCACCUCACUUAGGGUGCCACGUCAGCAUAGACCGAAUCAAAAUUGACAUUGGGGGCCAAAACUGCCACAGAUGCAAAACUUAGGGGACGGUUU
rnacentral:pre_miRNA from 1 species